rnacentral:rRNA from 1 species
UACAGAGGGGGCAAGCGUUGUUCGGAAUUACUGGGCGUAAAGGGCGCGUAGGCGGCCCACUAAGUCGAACGUGAAAUCCCCGGGCUCAACCCGGGAACUGCGUCCGAUACUGGUGGGCUUGAAUCCGGGAGAGGGAUGCGGAAUUCCAGGUGUAGCGGUGAAAUGCGCAGAUAUCAGGAGGAACACCGAUGGCGAAGGCAGCUCACUGGGACGGUACUGACGCUGAGACGCGAAAGCGUGGGGAGCAAACAGG